rnacentral:rRNA from 1 species
AUAUUGGACAAUGGGCGCAAGCCUGAUCCAGCAAUGCCGCGUGGGUGAAGAAGGCCUUCGGGUUGUAAAGCCCUUUUGUACGGGAAGAAAUCUCGUGGGUUAAUACCUUGCGAGGAUGACGGUACCGUAAGAAUAAGCACCGGCUAACUUCGUGCCAGCAGCCGCGGUAAUACGAAGGGUGCAAGCGUUAAUCGGAAUUAUUGGGCGUAAAGCGCACGUAGGCGGCUUUGUAAGUCUCACUGUGAAAGCCCGGGGCUCAACCCCGGGAGGCCAGGGGAUACUGCGAGGCUUGAGUCAAGUAGAGGUUGGUAGAAUUCCGGGUGUAGCGGUGGAAUGCGUAGAGAUCCGGAGGAAUACCAGAGGCGAAGGCGGCCAACUGGACUUGUACUGACGCUGAGGUGCGAAAGCGUGGGGAGCGAACAGG